CCUUGAUUUGCAAUGGCUGCGCCCGGUGGCGUGGUUGAGGCGGCCGGCCCCAUAACCAUUGGAUGUGCAGAUUUUCUUGCCUUUCAGGAGGUGUUAAAGAAGUCUCGCACCAUAGAUGAUAAAAUCAUUUAUGCACUUAACAAAUCAUUGCCUACACAGUCUUUUGAGGGUCAAGUGGAUGCAUCCAAGACUUGCAAAGAUCUGUACUCAAAGCUAAGGGAAAGCUACCGUGCCCGUGGGGCAGCAAUCAGGCGCUGUGUGGAGGAGACAGCCGGCCAUGUGGAGGCAUUACGGCAGCGGCGUGAGGUCGACCAGGACAGCCAGGACAACUAUGACUUACUCAGGGAGCUCCGGAGGGAGCAGUCCAAGCUGCGGCUAUACCGGUCGGAGCUGAGCGUAGAGGAAGUGGUUCGCGACCGGAGCCGAGCGAUCGUCUCUGAGCGAUGUCGACUCUUCUACGCGCCCGACCCAUCCACCGACCUGCUCAACAACUAGUGGCUGCCGGCCAGGGGCGGGCCCGGCAACAGCGCGCGCGCCGGCAGCCGUGCGCCGGACCAAGCGGCGGGAGGCCAGAGUGAAUGGGGGUGUGUCUGCCGGUAUGAGCUUGCGUUGUUUGUAAUACAUUGCGCGACUUGGUGCCGAU